CUACGGGGGGCAGCAGUGGGGAAUAUUGCACAAUGGGCGCAAGCCUGAUGCAGCCAUGCCGCGUGUAUGAAGAAGGCCUUCGGGUUGUAAAGUACUUUCAGCGGGGAGGAAGGGAGUAAAGUUAAUACCUUUGCUCAUUGACGUUACCCGCAGAAGAAGCACCGGCUAACUCCGUGCCAGCAGCCGCGGUAAUACGGAGGGUGCAAGCGCUAAUCGGAAUUACUGGGCGUAAAGCGCACGCAGGCGGUUUGUUAAGUCAGAUGUGAAAUCCCCGGGCUCAACCUGGGAACUGCAUCUGAUACUGGCAAGCUUGAGUCUCGUAGAGGGGGGAAGAAUUCCAGGUGUAGCGGGGAAAUGCGUAGAGAUCUGGAGGAAUACCGGUGGCGAAGGCGGCCCCCUGGACGAAGACUGACGCUCAGGUGCGAAAGCGUGGGGAGCAAACAGGAUUAGAUACCCUAGUAGUC
rnacentral:rRNA from 1 species